AUUGAACGCUGGCGGCAUGCCUUACACAUGCAAGUCGAACGGUAACAGGUCUUCGGAUGCUGACGAGUGGCGAACGGGUGAGUAAUACAUCGGAACGUGCCCGAUCGUGGGGGAUAACGAAGCGAAAGCUUUGCUAAUACCGCAUAAGAUCUACGGAUGAAAGCAGGGGACCGCCAGGCCUUGCGCGAACGGAGCGGCCGAUGGCAGAUUAGGUAGUUGGUGGGAUAAAAGCUUACCAAGCCGACGAUCUGUAGCUGGUCUGAGAGGACGACCAGCCACACUGGGACUGGGACACGGCCCAGACUCCUACGGGAGGCAGCAGUGGGGAAUUUUGGACAAGGGGCGAAAGCCUGAUCCAGCCAUGCCGCGUGCAGGAUGAAGGCCUUCGGGUUGUAAACUGCUUUUGUACGGAACGAAAAGACUCUUUCUAAUAAAGAGGGUCCAUGACGGUACCGUAAGAAUAAGCACCGGCUAACUACGUGCCAGCCGCCGCCGUAAUAC
rnacentral:rRNA from 1 species